GAUGAACGCUAGCUACAGGCUUAACACAUGCAAGUCGAGGGGAAACGGCAUCGAAAGCUUGCUUUUGAUGGGCGUUGACCGGCGCACGGGUGAGUAACGCGUAUCCAACCUGCCCAUCACUUGGGAAUAACCUUGCGAAAGUAAGACUAAUGCCCAAUGACAUCCCACGAAGGCAUCCGAAUGGGAUUAAAGAUUUAUCGGUGAUGGAUGGGGAUGCGUCUGAUUAGCUUGUUGGCGGGGUGACGGCCCACCAAGGCAACGAUCAGUAGGGGUUCUGAGAGGAAGGUCCCCCACAUUGGAACUGAGACACGGUCCAAACUCCUACGGGAGGCAGCAGUGAGGAAUAGUGGUCAAUGGGCGAGAGCCUGAACCAGCCAAGUAGCGUGCAGGAUGACGGCCCUAUGGGUUGUAAACUGCUUUUAUAAGGGAAUAAAGUGGGUCACGUGUGACUUUUUGCAUGUACCUUAUGAAUAAGGACCGGCUAAUUCCGUG
rnacentral:rRNA from 1 species